GGAUUGUGGCUCAGCGGUAGAGUGCUCGCCUAGCACGUGUGAGGCCCUGGGUUCAAUCCUCAGCACCA
rnacentral:tRNA from 1 species